rnacentral:lncRNA from 1 species
CGAAAAGAAAACGGGUGGUUUUCGGGUUAAAUAGGGGAUUUUCAAAGAAAAAAUGCGUGAUUUUUGGGUUAAAUGGGAUUUUUUUUAAGAGAAAAUGAGUGAUUUUCGCUUAAAUCGGUUUUUUUUCGAAGAGAAAAUGCAUGAUUUGGGGGAUAAAAGGGGGAUUUCUGAAGAGAAAAUGGGUGAUUUUUGCGUAAAUGAGGGAUUUUUGAAGAGAAAAUGCAUGAUUUUGGGGAUGAAUGGGGGAUUUUUGAAGAGAAAAUGGGUGAUUUUUGCGUAAAUGUGGGAUUUUCGAAGAGAAAAUGGGUGAUUUUGGGGAUAAAUGGGGGAUUUUUGAAGAGAAAAUGGGUGAUUUCUGCGUAAAUGAUGGAUUUUCGAAGAGAAAAUGAGUGAUUUUCGGGUUAAAUGGGGGAUUUUCAAAGAGAAACGGCAUGAUUUUUGGGUUAAAUGGGGAAUUUUUGAAAAGAAAACAGGUGAUUUUCAGGUUAAAUGGGGGAUUUUCAAAGAGAAAAUGGGUGAUUUCUGCAUAAAUGGGGGAUUUUUGAAAAGAAAACAGGUGAUUUUUGUGGUAAAUGGGGGAUUUUCAAAGAAAAAAUGGAUUAUUUUCGCUAAAAUGAAGGAUUUUCAAAGAGUAAAUGAAUGAUUUUCGCUUAACUUGGGGUUUUUCAAUGAGAAAAUGGGUGAUUUUCACUAAAAUGAGGGAUUAUCAAAGAGAAAAUGGGUGAUUUUUGUGUAAAUGAGGGAUUCUCGAAGGGAAAAUGGGUGAUUUUGGGGUUAAAUGGGGGAUUUUCAAAGAGAAAAUGCAUGAUUUUCUAGUUAAAUGGAUAACUUUUGAAGGGAAAAUGGUUGUUUUUUGCGUAAAUGGGGUUUUUCGAAAAGAAAACGGGUGAUUUUCGGGUUAAAUAGGGGACUUUCAAAGAAAAAAUGCGUGAUUUUUUAGUUAAAUGGGAAUUUUUUUUAAGAGAAAAUGAGUGAUUUUCGCUUAAAUUGGUUUUUUUCAAAGAGAAAAUGCAUGAUUUGGGGGAUAAAAGGGGGAUUUCUGAAGAGAAAAUGGGUGAUUUUUGCGUAAAUGAGCGAUUUUCGCAGAGAAAAUGGAUGAUUGUCGUGUUAAAUGGGGGAUUUUCGAAGAGAAAAUGGGUGAUUUUUGGGAUAAAUGGGGGGUUUUUGAAGAGAAAAUGGGUGAUUUCUGCGUAAAUGGAGGAUUUUUGAAGAGAAAACAGGUGAUUUUUGUGGUAAAUGGGGGAUUUUCAAAGAAAAAAUGGAUUAUUUUCGCUAAAAUGAAGGAUUUUCAAAGAGUAAAUGAAUGAUUUUUGCUUAAAUUGGGGAUUUUCAAUGAGAAAAUGGGUGAUUUUGGGGUUAAAUGGGG